GAGUGGAUUUUCCAGGGGAUUCAGGGGGCUGGAAUGAAACAAGAGCAGUGCACUCUGACCUGUCAAAUGCUAAAGCUGGCCUCAUUUGAGCCUGCCGCCCAUGCCCCCUUCCUCCUGUUGGAUCCCCUUUAAUUUCCGACAACUCCCUGGCCCCAACUAACUAACGGAGCCCUGUGCAGCAGAUCGCUCCAUAGCGUUCGGAGGCUGUCUGGACACUGCCCGAGCAGGCCGGAGGCGUUCGUGAGAUUUGAUUGUCCCCGAAGGAGAUGCCUUCGCUGUGUCUCCGCAGGGUCCUAUGGAGAAUGGUGAGCAAUGCAGGCAGAGCCACUCUGAAAACACACAACAUUCCAGGAUCUGAUGGCCCUCGGGGAGCUGAGGGGGAGAUGGCUAGCUACACUUCAGCCAGAGCUUUGAAGGGUGAACCACGAGUCCCAGCCUGACAUGAGUGAGAGGAAGAGAGGAGUGAGGAGGAAUGGGACACUCAGGAGGGACAUCAGCAAGGCCUGGUCAGCUGCCAUCUCCCCACCUGGAGAGGCAGCUUCCAGUUCUAAAGCCCUGGGGACUCUGUGUUUUGUUUGAAUAAGGGAAGCUGUUUCCCUUACAUCCUUUCAAAAAUAAAUAAAUAAAAGGCUAUCGUAUCAUCUUACAGAUGUUGUU